UACGGGGGGGGCAAGCGUUGUUCGGAAUUACUGGGCGUAAAGGGCUCGUAGGCGGCCAACUAAGUCAGACGUGAAAUCCCUCGGCUUAACCGGGGAACUGCGUCUGAUACUGGAUGGCUCGAGUUUGGGAGAGGGAUGCGGAAUUCCAGGUGUAGCGGUGAAAUGCGUUGAUAUCCGUAGGAACUCCGGUGGCGAAGGCGGCGUGCUGGAUCCCUUCUGACGCUGAGGCGCGAAAGCCAGGGGAGCAAACGGG
rnacentral:rRNA from 1 species